UGCGCUGCGCUCGCCCACGGUUCGCGCUCUCCGGCUGGCGGCGGACGCUCGGCCCUCUCUCCUCAGCUUCCUCUGGCGCCGGCUUCGCUCCCGCAGGCCCGGGGAGCCCGCGCGGCCGCUCCUCCUCCCGGUGGUGGGGCCAUGGCGCGGCGGCCCGAGGCUGGCGGCGAGGCCCGCGGUGCGCUGGCGCUGCCGGCGCUGCUGGCGCUGGCCCUGUGCGCGCCGGCGGCGGGGGGCCAGGCGCUCGAGUGGUACUCGGCCGUGGUGAGCCUGGAGUACCUGGAUCGGCAGACGAACCGGACCGUGUGCAGCGUCUCGGAGAGCGGCCGCUUCGGCGACAGCUCCCCCAAGGAGGGCGCGCUGGGCCUGGUGGGCGUCCCGGGCGCCCCGGACGGCGACCCUGAGGGUUGCGCGCCCGACACGCGCUUCGUGGUGCCCGCGCCGGGCGGCCGCGGAGCCGCGCCCUGGGUCGCCCUGGUGGCGCGAGGGGGCUGCACCUUCAAGGACAAGGUGUUGGUGGCGGCGCGGAGGAACGCCUCGGCGGUGGUGAUCUACAACCAGGAGCGCCACGGGAACAUCACGGCGCCCCUGUCGCACGCGGGAACGGGAAAUAUAGUGGUCAUUAUGGUUAGCUACUCGAAAGGAAAAGAAAUUUUGGAUCUGGUACAAAAAGAAAUUCAAGUCAAAAUGACCAUAGGGGUUGGGACCCGCCAUGUCCAGGAGUUCAUCAGUGGCCAGUCAGUGGUGUUUGUGGCCAUCGCCUUCAUCACCAUGAUGAUCAUCUCAUUAGCGUGGCUGAUAUUUUACUAUAUACAGCGUUUCCUUUAUACUGGCUCACAGUUUGGAAGCCAGAGCCAUAGAAAAGAAACCAAGAAAGUUAUUGGCCAACUUCCGCUUCAUUCUAUAAAGCAUGGAGAAAAGGGAAUCGACGUGGAUGCUGAGAGCUGUGCCGUGUGCAUUGAGAAUUUCAAGGUGAAGGAUGUGAUCAGAAUCCUGCCGUGCAAGCAUAUUUUCCAUAGAACGUGCGUUGACCCCUGGCUUUUGGAUCACCACACGUGUCCAAUGUGUAAGCUCGAUGUCAUCAAAGCCCUGGGAUACUGGGGAGAGCUUGAGGAUGCCCAGGAGGAGCCCGCUGCUGAGGCAGCCCCUGGAGGUGCCGUGGCUGCAAGUGUGAGUGUUACUGUGCGCCAGGAAGACAGAAGUGUCGGGAGCCCCUCCCCGUCGCCCUCCACCAGUGACCCCGUGUCGCAGUGCAGCAGGCAUCUUAAAGAAGACGCAGGGGAAAGCACAGCCUUACUCGAGACGGAGACGGGCAGGAGCGACCCCCAGGGCAGAGGACCUGUCUCCUCGCACGGCCCCUGACAGCGGCCCGGGCGCAGCUCUGGACUAAAGGACAUUUUAUUUUUUUUACUUUAGCACAUAGUUUAUAUAUUUGAAAAUAAUGUACCUUUUGAUGAAUUAUUUUGCCUUUCAUGGUCUGAUUUCAUAUACAAAGGGCUAAAUAUUUUAUUCUUAAAGAGACUUGUUGAUUACUGUUCAUAUAUUUAUCUACUGAAGCAGAUCACUUACAAUAAACAACAUGUUGUUUCAGGUUGUUUCUGAGGAGAUGGCUAGGAAGGCGCGCUGGUGUCAGUGUUUGUAAACCCGAGGCGAGCGCCGGUGGUGCUGCCUGAGCGGCCGAGUCCGUCUGCAGCGUGGUUAGACUCCGCACGUGAGCGCAGACUAGUCCAAGUGGAAUUGUGUCAUUAAAUCCCAUAAAUGCUUUCCCUGGAAGAAAGGCAUUUUUAGAACAUUACACUUGUAAAUGAAAUGAGAGGAAUCUACACCUUAGUAUUAUAUAGUGAGAUUUCAAAACCUGAGAAUCUUUUUCAUUGUUGUAUCACUCAAUUUCUUGUGACACUUUGUUGGGCAGUUUGCUCAUUUUUUUCAACAAUUAAAAUUGCUCAGAAUCUGUGUUUCUGUGAAUAUUGGGCCCCCAUUGCCUGUGGGAAAUCGAGUAGACAGCGACUGGUUUUCUUUGUAAGUGAUGAAUACAAUAUAUUGGUUCCAACAACAAUCUGAUAUUUAAAAUUGUAAGGAUGAAAGGUGGAGAAUUUUUUUAUUGUUGUAACAAAAUAAGCAACCAGUUUCCUGAUUAAUUUUGAAGCAAACUAAUGACCAUGACCUUGUUUAAUCAGCUGCCCUUUUUACUUUUGUUUGCUGUUCUUACUUGUAGGUGAAAGGAGCAGCAAAUAAAAAGCAUUUGGAGACUAAGUUUCAUAAAGUGAUUAAAUAAACACACACACCUGCUCUUCUGUCACUUGUUGGAGGAGGAAGCUGAAGAUAAGGGAGAGUUAUUUUGUGUGGACAGCCUGGGAAGGAGGACUGGCCGCACCCCUGCCACCUGCCUUGCGCCCCUGAGCUGCGCAGCCUGCAAGCGGCACAUCAGGUGCCUUGAAGACAUUAAAGCAAUGGAACUAGGAAAUCCAGAGAAUUCAAGAUGAUGAGUUUUGUUUUGUU